rnacentral:pre_miRNA from 9 species
CCGUGGCAGCCGCUUUCCCUGUCCUCCAGGAGCUCACUUACAUCCGGCCGUGAGCUCCCCGAGGCCAGAGCCCGUGUCUGCCUCAUUGUCAGCGCC